rnacentral:rRNA from 1 species
GAUGAACGCUGGCGGCGUGCCUAAUACAUGCAAGUCGAGCGAACAGACGAGGAGCUUGCUCCUCUGACGUUAGCGGCGGACGGGUGAGUAACACGUGGAUAACCUACCUAUAAGACUGGGAUAACUUCGGGAAACCGGAGCUAAUACCGGAUAAUAUAUUGAACCGCAUGGUUCAAUAGUGAAAGACGGUUUUGCUGUCACUUAUAGAUGGAUCCGCGCCGCAUUAGCUAGUUGGUAAGGUAACGGCUUACCAAGGCAACGAUGCGUAGCCGACCUGAGAGGGUGAUAGGCCACACUGGAACUGAGACACGGUCCAGACUCCUACGGGAGGCAGCAGUAGGGAAUCUUCCGCAAUGGGCGAAAGCCUGACGGAGCAACGCAGCGUGAGUGAUGAAGGUCUUCGGAUCGUAAAACUCUGUUAUUAGGGAAGAACAAAUGUGUAAGUAACUAUGCACGUCUUGACGGUACCUAAUCAGAAAGCCACGGCUAACUACGUG